GCUGGCUUCCUCUGUGCCCACCGACUGGGCGCGAAUCUCUUCCUCUCUGUGCUGUGUGCAGAUACAAGCUUCAGACUUUUAUUUAGAAACUCAGAAGCUGAGCCUUAACUUCUGUGGGCAUAAUCACACCCUGAAGGUGGUGAGUCUGGAAUGUUCCGGGCUGGAGAAAGCCAGCAGCGCACGUCGGCAGUGGUGAGAGGGAGAUGUAAGCACGGCACACGGGUUGACAUGUUUUCUCGUGCAGAGCCUCACGUUGGUGACCCCCCCCACCCUCCGUCAAGUGCCAGGUGAUUCUCUGGUGGAUGAGGGAGGGGGGAAGGGACCGAGGGAUCGGCUGGACCUGGGAGGGAGGAGGGUCCAUGAAGGGGUUUCCCUGCCCGGCUUACCCCGUGCCAAGCUGGGAGUCAGGUGUGUGGGUCUAGGAGGGGGUUCAGGCCGGAGGUGGAGAUGGGCAGGGCCCCUAGGGAGCUUCUCCAGAACCUCUAGGCAUCCUCGAGCAGAAGUAGGCCGGUCUGCCAAACUGGGGCAGGCACAGGGAAUCUGGGCCGAGGGCCCGGUUUGUCCCCAGGCUGUGCCUCGUGCGCUGGCACCUCUGUGCUGCCCGCCCCUGCUGGGGCAGUCCAGGGCAGGGCUGUCCAGCCACCCGUUGGUGAGUCCCUGGUGCUCACACGUGCAUAGCCCUUUGCUGACCCUGGCUCCAUCGUAAGGAACCAAGGCCCCAAGAAGCAGAGUGGCCCAUCUCCAAGCCCAGGACAGCUACGUGGCGGGGCCGGGAUCUGUCCCCUGGCCUCCCGGAUGGUAGGGCUUAGCCUUUUCUAGGCCACCACACUGCUGUGCCCUUCACAGGGGAUGGGAGAGGCAGAUGGCCUGGCUGGAGAGUUAGGAGCCAGAAUGGACCUCAGAGAGACUGCAUGCAAAUCUCCAGUCCCCUCUACAUUCAGGAAUAAAGGAGCAGGUUGGUCCAGUCUACAACCAACACUAGGCAGGGAAUGUGGUUCCCAAGUGGAAAUUGGAGGUGUCUUGGCCCCCACUGCUCAGCAACACUUCCCCUCCACACAGUGGAUACCAUACCCAAGCCUCCCCUUCACUCUUUGUCUUUACUCUCUUCCUUGAAAUAUUGAAACUGGGAGGGCAGUUAGGUCAUCAGCCCUUACCCUCAGGCUCACUGUGUGACCCUGAGCCGGCCGCUCACCUUCUCCGGGCCCACUUUCACACCUAAUAACUGAGGGCAUUGGCCUAGCCUAGCAGUUCCCAAACCUUGGUCAUGCAUUAAAGUCAUUUGGAGAGCUUUUAAAAAACUGUCAGUGGCUAGACCCCUUUGCAGACCUGGUGAGCCAGCUCCUUUGGGAUCAGGACUGGGGAAUCUGCACCCAGGCGAGUCCUGGUUCUGGGAGGCACAAACCAAAGGGCCUUUGCACUCUCGACCCUGAGCCCCUCUGCAGCCCCUUCUAGGACAGAUUAAGGACACUGAGGCCCAGAAAGGGGAGGUCAUUGGUUUCCUCUCAGUCUCUCCUCUCAAUGGGCUCCUGCCCAGCCUCCACCCAUUCUCUUGGGCUGAGAUGAAGCAUCAAGGACCAAGCUGACCUGGGUGGGGUCAGGAGAGGGCGGCUGCCACCCUGCCUGUGGCUGACCAUCCCUGUGCACUUUCAUCUGGUUCUCACCCCAGGGCCAGGGGCCCCACCUCACUUUUCUGAGCCCACAUUGUAAGAAUCCCUUGGGUGCUCCUUGAACAUUUCAGGUGCCCACAGCACCCCCUCCGGCAGGGCAACCUGGGAGGAACAGAAGUGGAGGUGACGGUGGGUGGGGGCAGGCAUGCAGGAAGUAGGCUCAUCUGUCUUCCGUCAUGAAGAGCUUGUGUUCUGGUCCUGACUCCGCUUAGGAGGGAUGGCCUGGGAGAGGAACUGAUUGAAAUGUACUUUUCGUUUCGGGAAAUUAAAGUCCUCAAUUUGAGAGCAUGGCGGCAAUUAGUGUUUAAUCAUGGGAGGGUAGAGCAUAGGGAAACGUUCCCAGUGCAUGCCUGGGUGGGCUGAUUAUCAGCCCAGCUUCCUCCUGGGGGGGCUGAGGCUCAUCCUGCCCCUUCCCCAGGACAGAUUAAAGGUAUAAUUUGAUGAAUCAAUUUGUUUUCUGGAGGAGGGAAAAGGGAAAAGGGAAGCAGAAAUAUGAUAAUAGCUAGAAUCAAGCUGCUCCAUCUUGUCCUACAGGAGUCAUUAGGAAAGGGGAGGGGCAGAGAAAAGGGCAGAGGAAAGAGACAGAUCCAAUCAAGGAGACCCCAGGGUCUUCCUUCAGGUAUUGCGCUGACGUAGUGGCCUUUGAAGACUCGAAGACCCGAGUUCAAAUCCUGGUUCUGGCAUUUAUCAGGUGUGUGACCUUGAGAAAUCCACCUAACAUCUCUGUGCCUCUAUUUCCCUCCUGGUCUCUAAGAGAGGCGCAGCCCAGCAGGGUGGCUGGACCAUUGGUAGAUGUACCUCUUGCAAUGUCUGGCACAUAGCUGGUGCUCGGUAAAGGUGACAUGAGAAAGAACAUUGGGUUUGGGAGAGAGGAAGUGAAACUGAGACAGUUGCCCCUGUGGAGCCGGGCUUGAGAUGCUGGGCCAGAGGGUUCUCUGCACAGCAUCCUUUGGGUCCCAGAAGAUAGGGCACGGUAGCAGGGCACUUCUAGGCAGAAGGCAAAAACUCCAAGCAGUGGGCGGUGGGACCAACUGUGUGGUGCCAGGAUCUUAGCCUGAGGAGUGAAAAUCCUCUUCCUUCCUUCCAGAAGUCACCCUACCAGGUCAGGUGCCCCCAUGCAUCUCAACAUCCCCUUGUUUCCCUCUUGUGGUCCUGCGAGCGCCCCCGGGGGUGAUGUGGUGGUGGGUGCCUAGUGCACCAAGUACACAGCCAGUCCUCAGUCGGUGUUGGGCAUGAGGGAUGCUGGGCAGCAGUGGCACAGGUGACAGGCUCUGGCUGCAGCUGGACUGGCCAGGAGAGCAGAGAGGCCUCGGUCUGAAUCGGACAGACUUGGGUUCAAAUCCUGCCUCUUCCUCGCUGUGUCUGGGGACAUGUUCCUGCCUCCUCUAAAUCUCAUCUGUAAUUUCCAUUUUCCUGGGCUGGUUAUUAAUGAUAAUACCAUUUAAAAAAAUUUUUAUUUAUUUAUGAUAGUCACACACACACACACACAGAGAGAGAGAGAGAGGCAGAGACAUAGGCAGAGGGAGAAGCAGGCUCCAUGCACCGGGAGCCCAACGUGGGAUUUGAUCCCAGGUCUCUAGGAUCACGCCCUGGGCCAAAGGCAGGCGCCAAACCGCUGCG
rnacentral:lncRNA from 1 species